AGAGUUUGAUCAUGGCUCAGGACGAACGCUGGCGGCGUGCCUAAUACAUGCAAGUCGAGCGGACCCUUCAGGGUCAGCGGCGGACGGGUGAGUAACACGUGGGCAACCUGCCUGUAAGACUGGGAUAACUUCGGGAAACCGGAGCUAAUACCGGAUAAUCCUUUUCCUCACAUGAGGGAAAGCUGAAAGACGGUUUCGGC
rnacentral:rRNA from 1 species